rnacentral:lncRNA from 1 species
GGUGCUUCCCUUUCCGGGCGGGAAGCUUAAGGACCGCGACAAAGCCGGAAGUGUGGUCUUUUGUUUUUCGUUCGUGUUUUCCCAAUCGUAGGCGCUGCGGCACGAUUUAACAUCUAACAGCCAUGGGUGCAAGGCUGUCCGUGCCGCAGAAGAGCAUUUAUUCCCAAGUUGUGGGUAUCCUUUUAGUGGGGGGAAUUAAGGUUAAAAAAUCUGAAGUUAAGAAGUUUGUUCAGUGGUUGUCGCAGACUUUCCCUGAUAUUUCGGCAGCUAAAUUAUACCAAGCCCCUUUUUGGGAACAGGUAGCAGGGGAGAUCCUGCGACAGUCAGAUCUCUCUCUCUCCAUAUUCACCCAUUUGGCUCUCCAAAUUCGCGAUAUAAUUAAAUAUCGCUACAAAAGUCUGCCACAGCCAGCCGCAAACAAACCGAUCCCCAGUUCGGCGGGUAGUUCAUAUAACGCUACUCCGCUUCCCUGUCCCUCAGCCCAGUCGCUGCAGUACGAUGCAGCGCUUGCAGCUGCGGCGGGGCGCAGGGCGGCUGCUGCCGCUGCUCCCGAGGCUGCGGCUGCGGCGGGGCGCGGGGCGGCUGCUGUCGCUGCUCCCGAGGAUGCGGCUGCGGCGGGCGCUGCGGGAAAACUGCAGCAAAACUCUCCCUCUCUCCCGAAGUCGGGUAUUAUCAGACAGGCAUCCCGGCAUUGCCCGCAGGCAGAUUCUGGCCCCUCUGAGAAUACCCUAGACACCCCGCAGGGCGGUGCAGGCACUGUCUCUGCUUCUACCCGUUCCCCUUCUUCCCCGCACUGUACAGCCCCGUCCCGUAGAGACUCCGUUCGUUUUCAGUUAUCCCAGACCCCCGAAGAUCCCUCAUCCCCCAUCCUCCAUCCCCAAACCCCACAAAAUGGCUCCCCUUCUCCCCCCUUCCCCAGGACACAAGAUGGAGGUGACCGCGUGGGUUUUCCCGCCACUCGUGCUCCUUCUUCCCAUGAUCCCUGUCCUCCCCCCUCCCAUAAUCCCUUCCGGCAGACCAACCCCUUCUGCUCCCCGGAUUUCUCCGCCCACCUCCCUCCUCCACCCCCCGUCA